UCCCUGGUGGUCCAGUGGUUAAGACUCCAUGCUCCCAAUGCAGCGGUCCCAGGUUCAAUCCCUGGUUAGGGAA